AUUGAACGCUGGCGGCAUGCUUUACACAUGCAAGUCGAACGGCAGCACGGGGGCAACCCUGGUGGCGAGUGGCGAACGGGUGAGUAAUAUAUCGGAACGUACCCGGAAAUGGGGGAUAACGUAGCGAAAGUUACGCUAAUACCGCAUAUGCCCUAACGGGGAAAGCGGGGGACUCGCAAGAACCUCGCGUUUUCGGAGCGGCCGAUAUCGGAUUAGCUAGUAGGUGAGGUAAAGGCUCACCUAGGCGACGAUCCGUAGCUGGUCUGAGAGGACGACCAGCCACACUGGAACUGAGACACGGUCCAGACUCCUACGGGAGGCAGCAGUGGGGAAUUUUGGACAAUGGGCGCAAGCCUGAUCCAGCCAUGCCGCGUGAGUGAAGAAGGCCUUCGG
rnacentral:rRNA from 1 species